CCUUUCACCUACAUAUUCCUAUGAGGUAAUGCCAGGAGGAGCUGAUGAGCCUAUAAAAGCUUGGUUCCGCACAGGAAAAGGGCUCUCCCUCUCCAGUACGCUGGCAUUGUGUGGCUGGAGCCAAGAACGCCUUUAGACGAAGAUGGAUUUUUCAUUCUUUUUGAGAUUGGACCAAAAUCUACUAAAAUGAAUUUUUACAGUCUUUGAAUUGGACUUUGUCAAAUUUUAAGCUUAUAGGUAGGCUAGGAGAGAGGACUUCGGGCCAGCAGGAAAGGGAGAUGCCAUUUUCAAGGUGUGGUCCUCCUCCUGAAGGCCGCCUAUCUAUUCAAACAGAAUUCGGAUUUUGGAACAAAGGAGAACUGAUCACUCGACUUGUUCAACCAAAUAGCAUUUUAGACAUUUUGUCUCCUCUUAUGCUCUGAGUUUGCAUGUCCACGUCUGCGCUGAUGUUUACAAUCUCGCCAUCCAGUACAAUGGCGCGAUGACGGCUGCCAUCCAACGAGCUGUUGUACUUCUCAAUGGCAUGCUGUGAUGGCCACAAGAUGACAACCAAUGUAUAAGAACAAAGUUCACUACCACAUGGAUUGGUCAAAGUUAUACAAACAUCUUUUCCCAACUUUUUAAGACACACACUCAGUAUCUCCCAGCAUCACUACCUCCCAAAAUCCCCACGUCACCACUAAAAACAAAGUUGGUUGAAUGUAUUUUUUAUGCUGUUUUUGCAGCAUAGAGCAAGCUUUCCUAAACAUUUCAAGUCAUGCACCCCCUUAACACUCUGACACGAUUGAUGCACCAAUACCAAUAUCAAGCCACCCCCAAAAAUGCAAACCCUAACACUCUAAUUAUAUUUACACAACUCCCUGAAACGCUCCAUUGCAAAUAGCACACUCCUGUCAAGCAAAACCUUCCUUAAACACAUCAAAAACAAACUGAUGACUAUUUUAACAAUGUGGACAAGGAUUUUCCAAACUUUUCAUGCCAACAGGCCUCUAAACACCCUGAUACAGUAGGUGCAUCCCUGACGCCAAACCCCACAACCCAAAGAUUUUUAAAUGAUUUUUAAAUUUCUAAUUUUUUUUAAUGCACACACCACCUUUACCAUGCCUGCAGAAAUAGCGCACACUCAUCAUGACACCACUACAACAGCCCCCUCAACUCCCCAAAAGUAGAUUAAUAAUUUUCAGCCUCUUGAUGUACUAAUGUUAUGUCAUCUAAAAACUUUAUCCAAAGUUUACACAUUUUAAGUUACAACGCCUUUCAACACAACAGCUUAUUUAGAACACUACUAACUGCAGCAACGCAAACCAUCCGCAACCUACUUAAAAAAAGAAACAAAAAUAACGCAAAUCAUCUUCAACCUACUUAAAAAAAGAAACAAAAAUAAAACAUACAAGAAUAUAUGUGUGUGUGUGUGUGCGUGCGUGUGUGUGUGUGUGCGUAUGUUUGUGUGAAACCUACACUAACAUCGUCAACAGAUGUGUUGAGCUUAUGCAGCUGCGUCCAGGCCAUGGUCCUGGCGUUGAGGUUGUGCAGCUGUGCAGCGAGCGAGUCAAAGUUGAUCGGAUGCAGAUCAUCCAGCAGGACGAUGACGCAGCUGUCACAUGCUGCCAUGGUCUGGGUGAUGACUGAAUUAGAAGUUGCUGUCUGGAUUCUGUGCCAAGUGACCAGGGAAAGAUCUAAGGUGGACCAUUUUCCCGGACGUAGAUUUCUGCAGUGACCAAUUGGACUGGGACAUACUUCGCUCAAGACGUCCUGUUUCAGCACUUUAUCUGAUCGAAUGGACUUUCACAUAUUUUUGCUAAUAUUGUCUACCAUUAUAGUACGUGUUAAAUGUUGCUGCAUCCAUUGCAGCCUGGUCAUACUGGACUGGAAGGGGUUUGCAGUCUCUUCUCAAGAUUUACUAUUUAUCCCAUGUUUUUUUUUUUCUUGCACUCCUAUGGGUUAAGAUUAAGGGAUAUUGUUAACAUGUUUUUCAAAGCAUGUAAAGCCCCUUGAGACUUUUUUGUUAUUAAGGGCUAUAUAAAUAAAUUUGGCUUGACAUGA